UACGUAGGGGGCAAGCGUUAUCCGGAAUUACUGGGUGUAAAGGGUGAGUAGGCGGCAUGGUAAGCCAGAUGUGAAAGCCUUGGGCUUAACCCGAGGAUUGCAUUUGGAACUAUCAAGCUAGAGUACAGGAGAGGAAAGCGGAAUUCCUAGUGUAGCGGUGAAAUGCGUAGAUAUUAGGAAGAACACCAGUGGCGAAGGCGGCCUGCUGGACGACAACUGACGGUGAGGCGCGAAAGCGUGGGGAGCAAACAGG
rnacentral:rRNA from 1 species